rnacentral:lncRNA from 1 species
CUACGGGAGUCGGAAUCCCGUCCCCGACUUCGACCGCUGGUAAGCUCCGUCCGAACUCCCACGAGAGCUGGAUUUCGCCUCUAACUUCAACUGCAGGCAAGCUUCGUCCGGACUCCUACGGGAGUUAGACCUCGUCUCCAACUUCGGCUAUAGGCAAACUUUGUCCGGACCCCUACGGAAGCCGAAACCUCAUCCCCGACUU